rnacentral:tRNA from 1 species
GGCCCCGUGGCGGAACCGGCAGACGCGGGGGACUUAAACUCCCCUGCCCGCAAGGGCGUCCGGGUUCGACUCCCGGCGGGGCCA